GAUGAACGCUAGCUACAGGCUUAACACAUGCAAGUCGAGGGGCAUCAUGAACUUAGCUUGCUAAGUUUGAUGGCGACCGGCGCACGGGUGAGUAACGCGUAUCCAACCUGGCCCACAGUAGGGUAUAGCCCGGCGAAAGUCGGAUUAAUCCCCUAUGCACUCCGAAGCGGGCAUCUAAUUUGGAGUAAAGGUUUACCGCUGUGGGAUGGGGAUGCGUCCAAUUAGCUUGCCGGCGGGGCAACGGCCCACCGGGGCAACGAUUGGUAGGGGUUCUGAGAGGAAGGUCCCCCACAUUGGUACUGAGACACGGACCAAACUCC
rnacentral:rRNA from 1 species